CUCGUAGGCGGUCUGUCGCGUCGGUCGUGAAAACUUGGGGCUUAACCCCGAGCUUGCGGUCGAUACGGGCAUGACUGGAGUUCGGCAGGGGAGACUGGAAUUCCUGGUGUAGCGGUGAAAUGCGCAGAUAUCAGGAGGAACACCGGUGGCGAAGGCGGGUCUCUGGGCCGAUACUGACGCUGAGGAGCGAAAGCGUGGGAGCGAACA
rnacentral:rRNA from 1 species